rnacentral:rRNA from 1 species
UACGUAGGCAGCGAGCGUUGUUCGGAGAUACUGGGCGUAAAGAGAGCGUAGGCGGUUUUCUAAGUUUGGUGUGAAAUCUCCCGGCUCAACUGGGAGGGUGCGUCGAAGACUGGGAGGCUUGAGUAUGGGAGAGGUAAGCGGAAUUCCUGGUGUAGCGGUGAAAUGCGUAGAUAUCAGGAGGAACACCUGCGGUGUAGACGGCUUACUGGACCAUAACUGACGCUGAGGCACGAAAGCGUGGGGAGCGAACAGG